GUGCUGCUACGGUUUUGCAGAUAUUACACAUUUAAUUCAUAGCGAAGACGUCACCCAGCCCACGUCACUGUAUUUUGUCGCGAAUUUCAAGCUCCUGGACUGGAAUGCUCCUGAUGCAGGACGAAUACAAGGUCAUUAUAGAUCUCCCAGGCAUAUGCAGUCCUCCUGCAGUAUGCCACAUAAUGCCCGAGAGAAUCCUGGGUCAGUCCUGGUUCAAAGCCAAUGACUGCUCUCAAAGUAAAGGUCUUCUCUUUUAGCUCCAGACUGGAGGGAAAUCCAAGCAAGGCAACUUCCUUGCAACUGCUACCAAGGUCAGUGUCAAUCCACACAAACUCUCCCAGAUUGUAGCUGUGAGUAACAUUACCUGAACACAGAGCCUUGCCUGUAUUGUUGUCCUGUGUUUUGAAUGAAGACGGACAAUGGGAAGGAUUUUCAAUUGGCCUGAGGCAGAGAGAGUCAGGAAGGCUGAGUCCCUCUUCAGCAGCAGUCUGAAGAGAAGCCAUGCCACAGUGGAGAUGUGGCAUUGUGCAUCAAUUUGGAGAGCACCUGAGGUCAGGAG